UACGUAGGGGGCAAGCGUUGUCCGGAAUCAUUGGGCAUAAAGCGCGUGUAGGCGGUCCGGUAAGUCCGCUGUGAAAGUCGGGGGCUUAACCCUCGGAUGCCGGUGGAUACUGUCGGGCUUGAGUACGGAAGAGGCGAGUGGAAUUCCUGGUGUAGCGGUGGAAUGCGCAGAUAUCAGGAGGAACACCAAUUGCGAAGGCAGCUCGCUGGGACGUUACUGACGCUGAGACGCGAAAGCGUGGGGAGCAAACAGG
rnacentral:rRNA from 1 species